GUGUAGGGCCAUACCACCCUGAACGCACCCAAUCUCUGAUUUUGCAAGCUAAGCAGGUUAGGCUCUGGUUAGCACUUGGAUGGGAGACCGACUGGGAAUACCACAUGCUGUAGACU
rnacentral:rRNA from 1 species